rnacentral:lncRNA from 1 species
GGCCUCCUUGCCCUACAGUCCCCUGGGCCCAGAUAAGUGGUGGCCUGACUUUCAGGUCCAUUUCAACUCUGAAAUUGGAUUGCGUCGGGGCCUCUGAGUUCGCGAAAGAGCUGCUAAGUCUGAGCGCUCGUGGGGCCGCGCGCAGGGGGACGGCCUGCGGCGCGACGAGAGGGAACUACCCAGCCUGGAGCCUAGGGAAGCGCCUCGCCCCGCCCAGCCCGGGGUCGCCACCGAGUCUCCACUUCCGACGGCAAGAUACAACAUCCAGGAUCACUUGCAUCCCUCCACUUCUAAACGUUUCUUCUCAAAAUGGUUCCUGGUGCGUUUUGACUGGACAUUCCUCCCUUCUGCCUCACUGCAUGUCGCCUGUUUUUCCUGGCCGAGACACUGACGGGUGGUCCACUCUUCCAUAGGACAGCUGUAAAGAGUUGCUCUGGUGGGGACCGCCCACCGAGCUCCCUGCUCCCCACUGAGCACUAUCUGGGCAAUUCAGUCUCAGCAAUAGCCAACCUGGGGGCUUUUCCGACGAAACCAAUGAAAGAAGGAAAGGAAAGCAGUGGAGAUGGUGGCUGCACACCCCCAAACUUUGACCUCAGAGAAGGAAAACCCUCGAAUACUGCUUCUCCCCAUCGUGUAUUGUAUUCCUGAAACCUGGAAAUGAAAAUGGAAAUGGUUUGAUGUAUGAGGAGACGUUAUCUAAUUAGGGCAUAAGAAAUUUAAUCUUUGCAGCAUGCAGGUCAUAUAAUUAAUGUUAAUUUAACGCUCAAAUUCUCAGUCAUUAAUUUUUAUUCUCUUAAAUGCAGUUUGGCAGGGGCCCCUGAUCCAUGGCAAUGGAUUUUGCUGGAUGUAAGAGCACACUUGGUCUUAGGAGUGACUCACCACAGACCUUCCCAUCCCAAUAACAAGAUCACAUCAUGUAUGCAUUAUUAAGCCACGUAAUUGAACAGUCCAUAGUUUGCAUAUCAGACUAUUAAAAUAAUGUGUUUUGCUUUUCUCCGAACACGAAUUGUUUAAGCCUCUGCGAAUAUGUGGCGAUUCUGAUAAUUAUCACCAAAUUACUGGAAAUGUUCUCUUCAUUAACGUGAUUUCUUUCAAGCAUUUUUUAAAAUGAGAAUAUUAUUAUGAAUUAAGAAACUUCUUACAAAGUUGUGUCAACUUUUUUUAAGACACUUGUCACUUGGAAGGAAAGAAUGUAUUUUAAAUGGAAGAGGGAGAGAAAUUCUCUUGACUAUGCCUUUCAAAUGGCUUCAUCUGGCCAAAUAAAUGUUUUCUCUCUAGUUUUUCAGACAGCUUCUAGGUAAGAGACAGACACAGAGAAAGAAAGGGAGAAAGACAGAGAGAGGAGGAGGAGGAGAGAGAGAGAAUUUAAAAGUCACAGGGGAGUAAGAAAAUUAAUUUCUAAAAGUUUUUACUAUCUGACUCCCUUCUGGUGUAGAUAACUUGAUCCCACAAGAAAAUCUUAACUUUUGACCUUAUCUACAGUAAAUGGAUAUUCUCACCUUAAAAAAAAAAAAACUUAAAAUUUUCUACAGCUAACAGCUCACAAUUAACUAAAUAGUGUUGCUUUCCCCUAGCUAUUCUGAGCAAUGUGAUUGGAGAAAUUAUUCGCGGUAAAGAGCUUUUAUUGUAACCUUCCUUUCCCACACUGUUUUAGAAGCUGAAUAGCAAAAUAUUGGAAGGAAGGAAGGAAGGAAGGAAGGAGGGAAGGAAGGAAGGAGGGAAGGAAGGAAGGAGGGAAGGAAGGAAGGAAGGAAGGGAGAAAGGAAGGAGGGAGAGAGGAAGGAGGGAGAGAGGAAGGAAGGAAGGAGAGAGAAAGAAAAAACACUAUUGCAAAGUAAGUCUCUUUUAAAUGUGGGAAAUUUGCGUCUGUACUCCCCUAUAGUAAAAAUUUCCCUUUGAGUGAUUUUAAAACUCCUAGCGAACAGGUCAUUCUGCCUCUGGUGUCAUCACUCCCUCCCAGGAUAGCGUCGGUGCCGCGCGGAGGUCGCUCUCCUCCGACGGCGCCUCCUGCGCGGAAACUCUGCCAGCAGCCCCGGCAAAGAGGGGUUUCUCCCACCGGAAAGUCUCCCGAGUUUGAGAGGGUUGUGAAAUUUUUCCUAAAUAAAAUGUGGCAGAGGAAGAGUAAGGGGG